rnacentral:rRNA from 1 species
UACAUGGGGUGCAACCGUUGCUCGGAAUUAUUGGGCGUAAAGCGCGCGUAGGCGGUUACUCAAGUCGGAUGUGAAAGCCCUCGGCUUAACUGAGGAAGUGCACCCGAAACUGAGUAGCUAGAGUACUAAAGAGGGUCGCGGAAUUCCCGGUGUAGAGGUGAAAUUCGUAGAUAUCGGGAGGAACACCGGUGGCGAAGGCGGCGAUCUGGGUAGAUACUGACGCUGAGGUGCGAAAGCGUGGGGAGCAAACAGG